UGAGACACGGUCCAGACUCCUACGGGAGGCAGCAGUGAGGAAUAUUGGUCAAUGGCCGUAAGGCUGAACCAGCCAAGUAGCGUGAGGGAAGACUGCCCUAUGGGUUGUAAACCUCUUUUAUGCGGGGAUAAAGGUGUCCACGUGUGGAUGUUUGCAGGUACCGCAUGAAUAAGGACCGGCUAAUUCCGUGCCAGCAGCCGCGGUAAUACGGAAGGUCCGGGCGUUAUCCGGAUUUAUUGGGUUUAAAGGGAGCGUAGGCCGGUCUUUAAGCGUGCCGUGAAAUUUUGUGGCUCAACCAUGAGAGUGCGGCGCGAACUGGAGACCUUGAGUGCGCGGAAGGCAGGCGGAAUUCGUGGUGUAGCGGUGAAAUGCUUAGAUAUCACGAAGAACCCCGAUUGCGAAGGCAGCCUGCCGCAGCGUUACUGACGCUGAAGCUCGAAAGCGCGGGUAUCGAACAGGAUUAGAUACCCUGGUAGUCCGCGCGGUAAACGAUGGAUGCCCGCUGUCGGCGAUAUACAGUCG
rnacentral:rRNA from 1 species